rnacentral:rRNA from 1 species
AGUGAAGCGGCAACAGCUCAAAUUUGAAAUCUGGCCCUUUCGGGGUCCGAGUUGUAAUUUAUAGAGAGUGUUUCGGGCGAGAUCGCGGUCUAAGUCCAUUGGAACAUGGCGUCAUAGAGGGUGAGAAUCCCGUAUGUGACUGUGGAUCGAGCCCAUGUGAAGCCUCUUCGAUGAGUCGAGUUGUUUGGGAAUGCAGCUCAAAAUGGGUGGUAAAUUUCAUCUAAAGCUAAAUACUGGCUGGAGACCGAUAGCGCACAAGUAGAGUGAUCGAAAGAUGAAAAGCACUUUGGAAAGAGAGUCAAAAAGUACGUGAAAUUGUUGAAAGGGAAGCGCUUGCAACCAGACCUGUCCGUAGGUGAUCCGCCGCUGUUCUCAGCGGUUCACUCGCUCUACGAUCAGGCCAGCAUCGGUUCGGGCGGUCGGAUAAAGGCCUUGGGAAUGUAGCUUCCUUCGGGGAGUCUUAUAGCCCUCGGUGCAAUGCGGCCAGCCGGGACCGAGGACCGCGCUUCGGCUAGGAUGCUGGCGUAAUGGUUGCAAGCGACCCGUCUUGAAACACGGACCAAGGAGUCUAACAUCUAUGCGAGUGUUUGGGUGUCAAACCCAUGCGCGGAAUGAAAGUGAACGGAGGUGAGAACCCUUAAGGGCGCAUCAUCGACCGAUCCAGAUGUCUUCGGAUGGAUUUGAGUAUGAGCAUAGCUGUUGGGACCCGAAAGAUGGUGAACUAUGCCUGAAUAGGGUGAAGCCAGAGGAAACUCUGGUGGAGGCUCGCAGCGGUUCUGACGUGCAAAUCGAUCGUCAAAUUUGGGUAUAGGGGCGAAAGACUAAUCGAACCAUCUAGU